GAUGAACGCUGGCGGCGUGCCUAAUACAUGCAAGUCGAGCGAACAGAUAAGGAGCUUGCUCCUUUGACGUUAGCGGCGGACAGGUGAGUAACACGUGGGUAACCUACCUAUAAGACUGGAAUAACUCCGGGAAACCGGGGCUAAUGCCGGAUAACAUUUAGAACCGCAUGGUUCUAAAGUGAAAGAUGGUUUUGCUAUCACUUAUAGAUGGACCCGCGCCGUAUUAGCUAGUUGGUAAGGUAACGGCUUACCAAGGCAACGAUACGUAGCCGACCUGAGAGGGUGAUCGGCCACACUGGAACUGAGACACGGUCCAGACUCCUACGGGAGGCAGCAGUAGGGAAUCUUCCGCAAUGGGCGAAAGCCUGACGGAGCAACGCCGCGCGAGUGAUGAAGGUCUUCGGAUCGUAAAACUCUGUUAUUAGGGAAGAACAAAUGUGUAAGUAACUGUGCACGUCUUGACGGUACCUAAUCAGAAAGCCACGGCUAACUACGUG
rnacentral:rRNA from 1 species